UGGGGAAUAUUGCACAAUGGGGGAAACCCUGAUGCAGCGACGCCGCGUGAGUGAAGAAGUAUUUCGGUAUGUAAAGCUCUAUCAGCAGGGAAGAAAUUGACGGUACCUGACUAAGAAGCCCCGGCUAACUACGUGCCAGCAGCCGCGGUAAUACGUAGGGGGCAAGCGUUAUCCGGAUUUACUGGGUGUAAAGGGAGCGUAGGUGGUUUGGUAAGUCAGAUGUGAAAGCCCGGGGCUCAACCCCGGGACUGCAUUUGAAACUAUCAGACUAGAGUGUAGGAGAGGUAAGUGGAAUUCCUAGUGUAGCGGUGAAAUGCGUAGAUAUUAGGAGGAACACCAGUGGCGAAGGCGGCUUACUGGACUAUAACUGACACUGAGGCUCGAAAGCGUGGGGAGCAAACA
rnacentral:rRNA from 1 species